rnacentral:rRNA from 1 species
UACAGAGGGUGCGAGCGUUAAUCGGAAUUACUGGGCGUAAAGCGCGCGUAGGCGGCUUUGCAAGUCGGGUGUGAAAUCCCCAGGCUUAACCUGGGAACUGCAUUCGAGACUGCAUUGCUAGAGUAUGGGAGAGGGAAGUGGAAUUUCCGGUGUAGCGGUGAAAUGCGUAGAUAUCGGAAGGAACAUCAGUGGCGAAAGCGACUCCUGGACCAAUACUGACGCUCAUGUGCGAAAGCGUGGGGAGCAAACAGG